UACGGGGGGGGCAAGCGUUGUUCGGAAUUACUGGGCGUAAAGGGCUUGUAGGCGGCCAACUAAGUCCGACGUGAAAUCCCCAGGCUUAACCUGGGAACUGCGUCGGAUACUGGAUGGCUUGAAUUCGGGAGAGGGAUGCAGAAUUCCAGGUGUAGCGGUGAAAUGCGUAGAUAUCGGGAAGAACAUCAGUGGCGAAGGCGGCCUGCUGGGCUGUUGCUGACGCUGAGGCGCGACAGCGUGGGGAGCAAACAGG
rnacentral:rRNA from 1 species